rnacentral:rRNA from 1 species
CCUUAUUUCCCGAGCGUUGUCCGGAUUUAUUGGGCGUAAAGCGAGCGCAGGCGGUUAGAUAAGUCUGAAGUUAAAGGCUGUGGCUUAACCAUAGUACGCUUUGGAAACUGUUUAACUUGAGUGCAAGAGGGGAGAGUGGAAUUCCAUGUGUAGCGGUGAAAUGCGUAGAUAUAGGGAGGAACACCGGAGGGGAAAGCGACUAUCUGGCUUGAAACUGACGAUGAGGCUCGAAAGCGUGGGGAGCAAACAG